CUCUUGCACGCUGGUUCUGAGGAUCGCCAGAUUAGGGCUUGAAUGAGAGAUUGACUUACUUUAUUCUUCUAUUUCUUGCAGGUGCAAGCGGUGGUUUUAGGGUUUCGCUUCGCUGGCAUCUCCUACUUAUUACCCACCUUGCUUGCAGACUCUACGCAGUAAUUCGUUUCUUCUCGUCCUCGAUGCCAACCAUCGCUUUGAGGAUAUACAAUAGGAUUGUCUGACCUCUGCUUAGAGUUGAGUGUUCAGUUUGCAAUGUCGUGAACGUAGCCGAGAAAGUUAUUUGUCAGUUGAAUUUGGUUUCGUGAGGGUUAUCUGUCUAGGGUUCAGGGUUUAGUUUUGUUGCUAUGGGUGGUUACCUCUACGGGCACUAGUUGCGAGUGGUGCUGGGACCUUGUUUGGCAAGGAGAACCUCCUCAGUUUACCAUCUGCAUUUCUAUGAAUGCUUCUGUCUUUCUGCUAGCUACAGUGUAUUGGCCCAAUCCUGUUUUCGACUGCUUGGAAAACUAGUUUGCUUUCCCAACCGAAACAAUCUACAAAGAGUCCGGUACCGGUAUUUGUAUCAGUAGCAAAGUUGACGGGGGUAGUAUCCUUGGCUGGGUGCCACUCCAGCAAUGUGGAGGGCCAUUGCAUCCAUGUGAUGUCUUCUUAGCCGUAGAGUCCUCUGUGAACGUCAAGAAAAGAAUUUGUUCGCACGAGUGAUCCCCUGUGUUUCUUGUGCAGGAGGUUUAUCUGUGAACGCAAGAUUGCAUAUUCCAUUUCCCAAGGGAGCAGCGUCGCUGCAGUUACUCUGCGGGACAGACCAUGCUAUCUCCAGGUCUUUCUGUGCGUUAGAUUUUCGUUAUGAUAAGGUUAAUGGUUACAGUCACUGUAGACCAGCCAGAGUACCAUCUCUCGGAUUGCGUGCACAACUGGAUGGUGACAACCUCGUCUUGUGCCAUGGUCUCAAUGUCUAGGAGGUCAGUAGCGUAGAAUUUUUUUCUGUACAAAAAGCAGAGGUCAUUGGUACCCAUGAGCUGACCUCUCGUCAGUUACAGGUAGAGUGGGAGCAUCAGUUUCACGUGGUGAGCCUUUGCCGAAAUGAUGGUGAUAGGUUCAAUCCAUGUUGCGACACUGCUCACUUUUUGGAAGAGAAUUAUGAUUUAGGAUUUCUGAAUUAGAAACUUCGAUACGUCUUCUUGGAGAUGUGAAUUAGAAUCGAUGUUCCGUCGUUGACGCAGUUACGCAAUCCCGUGUGUAUAACGCAGGAAGUUGAAUGGCGGAUUGCAAGAGUGUGGGUGAGUGGACAGUUCGGCAGUGCAGUGGUGUCCACGGUGAUGACAAGAGAAUUUCGUCAGUCUCAUCAGACUUGAUACGGGAACAGAAAUUUAAUUUCGCAUUCCCUGUGAUAGUUAACCCGCUGAUCUGAGCGAACACCUAGUGGAUUAGAGAGGCAAGACCCAGGGCGAGAGUCGGUUAGUACCGUCUCAUGGAUGAUCACAGCUGAAAUCAGAGAAACCACGCGCAAUAAACCUGGAAACAGUAAACGAUCUAAACUACAAACAAAAUAUCUUGCAGAGCUGGGCACGCCGUGAGACAUUCAAGAGAAACAGGCGUGGGAGCUAAUGCGAAAGGAGUAGCCACUGACAUCGUCGUUUUCUAGGCAUUCUGAAGCGGCACGUUUACCAGCAGGCAGCAUUUCGUUAUGCGAUGGCUCGACCAAUUCGGCCAGUGCGACUGCUGUAAAAUUGAUAGAGAUCAUGUGAUUUAGCCGAUUUUUCAAAAGCAUGCCGAUCUCUUUUAAAAGACUUAACUCGGAUGAUAACGAAUUCGCCUUCGAAGGCUAUUAAAUGAAUUCUGAAGUCAGCCUCGAUUCGGGGUUAGCAUCAUUCCAGUCUUACCCGAUAAUCAUCUGAAAAUCUGUCAAAGCCCUCGGCUGUACGUUAACCUUCGGAAAGGCCGACGAGGGCGGCGGCUGUGGGAGCGGGGAAAAAUUCCAUCUCGAGGUGGCGCUCUACCGGGCAUGGCAGAUCACAGUCCAGGUGGGCUGAGCUGCAGAAGUACAAACACUGCCGCUCACCCGAGCGCCACAGCGAAAUGGAGUCCAAAUUCAUGGCAAUAUGGGUGCAGGCGAACGUAUUCUGCAAAGCGGCAUGCCCCUCCAAAUGGAAACCAAUCUUCCAUCUCGACUUCCUCCACAGAAACCUAGCCAACUGACUUCAAACCAUCCAGACACCCACAGCAAACCCGACACAGUUGCAAGAUGAACCCGGAAAUGAAGACUCACCUCAACGAAGUGCAAAACACACUGCCUCCAACGCGCAACCAGUGACCCAGCCACACCCCACCUCUCCGCAACAAUCCGAGGGCGUGAUGGAACAACUUUCGUCCCAAAUUAGUUUACCAGGACCAUCCCAGAGGCUCCAUUCAUACACAAAGUUAUUGUAUCGGGACACCCACUCCAGUGUACCAAGUGCCGAACAUUCGGAAACCAGGCCUUAGAGUAUAAACCAAGACCACCCAAUGAGGGGAAAAGAGAGACAAGCCCCCCGCAAAGAAUAAGGAAACCACCAGCCCCAUCGGAUGCCAUGGAACACUCAGAAUGGAGGAAGGAGACCACCCAAUCAACUCAACCACACAAAUGAAAACAUUAAAGCAGGGGGGGGGGAUCUUUCCCACACCAACACGCAAGAACAAUGCACUAACCCGACUCCACCGACAACACACAAGCUGAAAUUGGUGAUUACACAAGAAAGAAGCUCAGACCUCGAAUCCGCCCGUCCCACAUACAUGAUCUUCACCGCCACGAAGCCACCACAAGACGGAGGAGAGACAUCAACUAACCACCAACUUCACCCAGCAAGCAGAACCAAGACACCUACAAACGAAAGCACUGACUCACAACAGCACCAACUCCACAUUGUGCACCACAUGGAGGGGUUUCAAUUUGUUUGGAGGAAGAAACAAUAGGGAAAAAUCCACUUCCAACGUGAACCAACAAACAUAGACCCGGAAGAACCCAUUGAGGCAUAGAAAAGGGGGCAUCGAACCACAACGCGUCCCAGAGGGGUUACUUUGUACUGUGCCAUUCAUCCCACAUCCCAACACCCAGAUCACACGCUGCAGGAUAUUCUCGACAGCGGGGGAAGUUUUUUGCGAGGUCCUCAUCAACCUCAGCACCUCAAGGAUCCAACCGAUUGCCCAUAGACAAGUAUCCACCCUAGAAAAUCACACAAAAUGGUCCCACGCACAAGCAACGACGCUCUUCCUCUAAGAAACCGCAAUGGCUCUCUUGAAGAUAGUUAUCAACGCACACAACAUCGGAAACCCAUUAAAAAAAUAUGAGGAUGCAAUAUGGAGAUACUGAUGGGAGAAAAACGGCUAUAGAGAGACACAUUAUGACUGCGUGGCCUUCAUCUCUACCACCUCAAACACAAUGAAACUCAAAAGACCAGAUCAUCACAUUUGGAUUCCAAUGCACAGCGCGUUACGUGAAUUUUCAUCGACCACACAGAAAGGAACAUUGAGGCCACUCUCAACACAAGCUGAGACAGCCACACAAACACUCCUGGAUAAAAGCCAACUCGGAGACGACGUAUCUUCCCAUAGACCUGACAAGAAGAGAGCUAAAUCCAAUGCAAAAUCGAUAGAGGAACAAGGAGGACAUACAGAGUGCACUACCCUAGAGGAGGGUGUCAACGACAACCCCAUCCUUCUCGUAUGUCACAGGACAAUAUCGUCCUUUCAACUCUCAAUGCAGGACACUCGGACAAGGCA